UGCAACAUGAGGGACGCUUUGGGUGGGAGCAAAGAUCAGCGGUAGCCAGUGCCCCGGAGCAGAUGCUCAGGAGGAGAUAAAAGCAGCCCUGUGGCUGCAUGUCCGCCCGGCUUCCGGCGAUCUGGAGCUCGGCGACUUCCUGAACCACAGCUUUUAUCUGAGAGUUUUCUCUUCCGUGAAUGUUUUUUGUUUCUUUUUGAACCCAUCUCAGCUUUUGGCAUGAAGAGCAUCCUGUGACAAUGGGUUCUGCAGCGCAAUUGCUCGCUUUAUGAAAAUGUUCUUUUGUGACUUUUGAAACCUGUUAUGAGACUUGCUAUGAAACUGCAGAAACACUGAGCAGCAGAACUGGAACUAUUUGGUGCAUGUAAUUGAGAAAUGCUACGCUGCAGAAACCUGCAGAAUGCACGGCCACAAAACACGUUUUGCAUCUUUAUUUCUCUUGCUGGUAUUAGCAGAGAUAGGAGAUCCUACUGAGGAACACUGUUCCUCCCAGAUGGUUAAACAGUCUAGAAAUGUUAAUGCAGUGAAAGGCAGCCUGUAUUUGAGUUAUUCAUUUUUUCAUUUUUUACUUAUUAUUUCUUUUUUUUCAUUUAUUUUUAGUGAUGCAGUACAGGAAAUGAAGCCUGUGUUUGGAUUACACCAUGCUCAGAGGAGUAGGACUGCUACUUUUCUAAAUCAGAGACAUUUCACACCCCUUCACCAAUAACAACCAUCCUUUGAAGUGGUUCAGAAAUAUCUGAGGAACAGCGAUAUUAAUUUGCUGAUGGCUUCCUUUCCUUAUCUAUUUCUCUGAAACACAGAGAUGCUGUCGGCUCAUGACUUCAAAGAGUGAAACCAAAGCGCAGUGGAACUAAGCUGUUACCAAGCUCCUGAUGUGUCACACUGGCCUGAAGACGUGCUGGCACUGCUGCUGCACAGGGACUUCAUGGAGGCCCACGUCUCUGCAAAAUACCGUACGUGAACUCAGGCUCCAACUGAAUCUCGUCUCCUGGGAGAACCAGCUUCAUUUCAAAGGAUAAUUCAGAAAGGAGAAAACUUGACUAAUAAAGAAUAACUUAGUUAACAA